CAACCAUAUCCCAUUGAAACACUGGUUCCCGUACGAUCAUCGAAGUUAAGCAACGUCGAACCUGGUCAGUACAUUAGAUGGGUAACCGCUUGAGAAUACCAGGAACUGUAAG